UACGUAGGGUGCGAGCGUUAAUCGGAAUUACUGGGCGUAAAGCGUGCGCAGGCGGUUUUGUAAGCCCGAUGUGAAAGCCCCGGGCUUAACCUGGGAAUGGCAUUUGGGACUGCAAGGCUGGAGUGCGGCAGAGGAGACUGGAAUUCCUGGUGUAGCAGUGAAAUGCGUAGAUAUCAGGAGGAAUACCGAUGGCGAAGGCAGGUCUCUGGGCUGACACUGACGCUCAUGCACGAAAGCGUGGGGAGCAAACAGG
rnacentral:rRNA from 1 species